GACGAACCGAGCGAACGUUGUUCGGAAUCACUGGGCUUAAAGGGCGCGUAGGCGGGUGACUAAGUCUGUGGUGAAAUCCGGCAGCUUAACUGUCGAAUUGCCAUGGAUACUGGUCGUCUCGAGGGAGGCAGGGGUGCGCGGAACUAAUGGUGGAGCGGUGAAAUGCGUUGAUAUCAUUAGGAACUCCGGUGGCGAAGGCGGCGCACUGGUCCUCUUCUGACGCUGAGGCGCGAAAGCCAGGGGAGCAAACGGG
rnacentral:rRNA from 1 species